AAGUCGUAACAAGGUUUCCGUAGGUGAACCUGCGGAAGGAUCAUUUCAGAGAAAAAGUAGACUUGGGUCUCGACCCUAGUAGUUCACAAACACACCAAAUCACUCGGCAUUGUCUGAACUAAAGUAAUGUAUAACUGUCAACAACGGAUCUCUAGGCUCUU
rnacentral:misc_RNA from 1 species